UACAGAGGUCUCAAGCGUUGUUCGGAUUCAUUGGGCGUAAAGGGUGCGUAGGUGGUGGCGCAAGUCUGGUGUGAAAUCUCGGAGCUCAACUCCGAAAUUGCACCGGAUACUGCGUGACUCGAGGACUGUAGAGGAGAUCGGAAUUCACGGUGUAGCAGUGAAAUGCGUAGAUAUCGUGAGGAAGACCAGUUGCGAAGGCGGAUCUCUGGGCAGUUCCUGACACUGAGGCACGAAGGCCAGGGGAGCAAACGGG
rnacentral:rRNA from 1 species